GGGUGGGGACAAAUAAGGGUAUAAAAGCUGGCCACCCGCGCAAACAGCGGUAACUUGGUUGGGUGUUCUUCUCUGCUGUGUAGGCUUUGUUCUUUUGCUCUUUGCAGUAAAUGUUGCUGCUGCUGACUGUUGGGUCCCAGCCGUCUUUAAAAGCUAUUACACUCACGGUGAAGGUCUGUGGUUUCACUCCUGAAAUCAAGCGAGUGUACGAACCCACCGGAAGGAAGAAACUCCAGACUCCGAAGGAACAAACUCUGGACACACCAAAUGUAAGAAUUGUAACACUCACCGCGACGGUCCGUGGCGUCCACCCUCGCAGCUUCUUUCUUGAAGUCGCCGAGACCAAGAGCGCACCGAAAGGAACCAAUUGUGGACACAUCCGUUUUAGUGGAAUAAUAGUCCUUGGUUCUCUGGACAACCGGGAGAAUUGCAUUUUCUGAGGCCCACGAUAAGCACCCAACCGUUAAUAUUUCCAUGCUUCUCUGUCCAUCCCAUGGAGCCUGGGGCUUGAGGGACUGUGCAGUGAGGCAGCAACUCACAUCUCCAGCUGUUGGACUGGUCCUGCCAGCGACGUCUGCUCAGUAGAACAAGCAGCACUUCCCCCAGCUCAGCACUGUCUCAUUUCUGAGACUGAACACCCCGUGGUCACUCUACAUGGAUGGGUUAAUUUCCCUUGGAAAAGUAUUGAUGAUCAAGUGAUGCUAGCAGCAACAGUGUUAAAGGCUUUAACGCUUUUAAAGGUGAGACUUUUGGGAGUUGAUUAGGUCAUGAGGAUGGAGCCUGGUGAAUGGGAUCAGUGAAAGAGGCCUGAUGUGAGGGUGACACAGGCUUAAACUGAGACAAUCCAGCAUGGAACACUUGCAGGAAGUACUAGGAAAGUGCAUUUUCUUUCCAUGAGGGUUGCCAAACUGGAAGCAUGUUAGCUAAAGCUACCUGUAGUCAUUUUGUGGCCACAUUGGGUGAGAUUGUCUGAGAAAGCAAACCAACUGAAGCAGAGCAGAGAAGAUACUCUACCAACCUAGUUGGAGCCCUGGUUCCAGCCUUGCCUGAAGCUAAAUGCACCUCUAUGCUUCCUUUUUACUGACCCAAUAAAUUUCCCUAUUUGUUUAAACAA
ensembl:lncRNA LINC02096 long intergenic non-protein coding RNA 2096